AAUUCGAUUAGUUUGAUCAUGGCUCAGGACGAACGCUGGCGGCGUGCUUAACACAUGCAAGUCGAACGGCGAUGAGGAGCUUGCUUCUCUGAUCAGUGGCGAACGGGUGAGUAACACGUGAGCAAUCUGCCCUUGACUCUGGGAUAAGCGUUGGAAACGACGUCUAAUACCGGAUACGACUCUUGGAGGCAUCUCUGGGGGUGGAAAGAAUUUUGGUCAAGGAUGAGCUCGCGGCCUAUCAGCUUGUUGGUGAGGUAAUGGCUCACCAAGGCGACGACGGGUAGCCGGCCUGAGAGGGUGACCGGCCACACUGGGACUGAGACACGGCCCAGACUCCUACGGGAGGCAGCAGUGGGGAAUAUUGCACAAUGGGCGAAAGCCUGAUGCAGCAACGCCGCGUGAGGGACGACGGCCUUCGGGUUGUAAACCUCUUUUAGUAGGGAAGAAGCGUAACAGUGACGGUACCUGCAGAAAAAGCACCGGCUAACUACGUGCCAGCAGCCGCG
rnacentral:rRNA from 1 species